UGAGCCACUGAUGACAGCUGGUGGUGUAUGAGUAAUGGAUGAUGAUGACUAUUAAGUAUCUGGAAUUUAGUAUCUGAGGUCCAA
rnacentral:snoRNA from 1 species